AUUAGAUACCCUAUUAUUUUUAGUGUAAAAAAGGUAAGACCAGAGUAGUAUUAGAUAUAUUCUUGAAACUUAAAGAAUUUGGCGGUAUUAUAGUCUAUUUAGAGGAGUCUGUUAUGUAAUCGAUAUUCCACGUUAAACCUUACUUACAUUAAUUUUUGUAUACCGCUGUUUAUUGGAAAUAUUCAUAGGUAAUUUUCUGGAUAAAUGAUUAAUUAAAAUUUCAAGUCAAGGUGCAGUAAUGUGUAAGAUGAAUAAUGGAUUACAAUAAAUUGUAUUUAUAACGGAGAGGGUUUAAUGAAAUUUAGUUUUUGAAGGUGGAUUUAAUAGUAAUUUUUAAAAAGAUUAUAAUAAUGAUUAUUAGCUCUAUAAUAUGUACACAUCGCCCG
rnacentral:rRNA from 1 species